CUUGGUCAUUUAGAGGAAGUAACGGUUGUAACAAGGUUUCCGUAGGUGAACCUGCGGAAGGAUCAUUAACAAGAAAUUCUGCUGCAGUGCCCUUUCGGGGGGUGCUGUAGUAUAUUAUCUCGGUCCGAGUCGCAAGGCUUGGACUGAUAAAUUAAUGUGUGUAUGUGUUGACAAUGUGUGUGAGAUUAAUUAGUAGACAACUUUUAACAAUGGAUCUCUAGGCUCUUGCAGCGAUGAAGAACGCAGUAAAGUGCGAAAAGUGAUGCGAUUUGCAUGAAUCUGUGAGUCAUCUAGUUUUUGAACGCAAAUGGCACUCUUGUGUAAGCAGGAGUAUGUCUGUUUGAGAAUCCCAAAACCGAUCAACACCUGUGGGGGUUGGCACUGGCGUUCCGUGCAGUAAUGUGCGGUCUGCCUGAAUGAAUUCAGGUUGAUGAGCUCCGACUGAGCUCCAAAUGUGCUAAAAGACUGUGGUCUUUCGUCAUUUGGGUGCGCAGUUGCAAAGCUCUAGUAAACAACCUUAACACAUAUCAAUUAGGAUCUCAAAUCAGGCAAGAUUACCCGCUGAACUUAAGCAUAUCAAUAAGCGGAGGA
rnacentral:rRNA from 1 species